GACUUGUCUUGGAACUUUGAAGCCUUGGUGCACUUGUCUUGGAAUUUUGGAAAACUUGAUUUUUCCGUAGUCUUUCUUUCUGUUGGAUAAUUUCUUGGAUUUUCGGAAGCCUUAUCAAUUCUUUGUAGUUGAUUCUUUUAGAGUCUUCUCCAUUGGACUUGUCUGGAGCUACAUUCAAACCUUGAUCCUGCAGAGUCCUCUCUAUUGGAUCACCUGUCGUGGAAUUUUGAAGCCUUGCUUCUUCAGGGUCCUCUCUAUUGGCCUUCUCUUGGAACUUUAAAGCCUUGUCUUUGGGAACUUUGGAGGCUUAUUCUUCAAAGACUUC
rnacentral:lncRNA from 1 species